rnacentral:rRNA from 1 species
UACGUAGGUGGCAAGCGUUACUCGGAAUCACUAGGCGUAAAGCGCAGGUAGGAGGUUUGAUAAGUCUGUUGUGAAAGCUCCCGGCUUAACUGGGAGAGGUCAACGGAAACUAUUAGGCUAGAGUGCGGUAGAGGUAGCUGGAAUUCCCGGUGUAGCGGUGAAAUGCGUAGAUAUCGGAAGGAACACCAGUGGCGAAAGCGGCUUCCUGGUCCAGCACCGACGUUCAGGCACGAAAGCGUGGGGAGCAAACAGG